CCGCUCGCUGAAGACGAAGUGGUGUCCUAUAUCCUGGCCGGAUUGGAAGGUGACUACAACUCUCUAGUCGCCUCCAUUGAUGCACAAAAGGAACAGAUCACUCUAGACGAUGUUUAUGCGCGGAUGUCGAAUUACGACG